UAGGGGCUGGUGCUGAUAACGUGUUAUAAAAUUGAGAGGAUUAUAGAGUAUUGAGAAGAAAGAUGAUGGAGAAGGUUAUAUCUUAUUCACCUCAUGGGGUACAUAUAUAUAUAUACACAAUGAUGGAAGAGUCUAGAGUUAUGUAAUGCGAAAAGUAAUGGGGAUGUUAAAGGUUAGGUAAUGUAAAGGGUUGGACAUCCACCUAUAAUUAUUCCAUGCAUAAUUAUUACAUAACAGGUUGAUUUUAAUUUUUUUUUUUUUUUUUUUGACCGAGGUUGAUUUUAAUUUUGGAAAAAUUAAAGUAACUCUCUACGGGGGCGUUCGGGAUUGUUGUGAUUUUGCGUGUUUCCGUUUUUUUCCAAAAAAUUAAAACAAAUCGUGUUCGACAAAUUACUCUUAAUAUAACAAGUUUUUGAGAUUUGCCUAUAAACAAAACGCUAAAGUACAAACCACAAAAACUGGUUUUGGAAGUUUUGAUUUAGAAAACUAGGUUUUAUAUGCACGCAAUGCGUGCGAAAAUACGAUGUAGAAAAAUUAAAUUAAUUGUUAACUAUAUCGAAUAAAUUAGGGAUACUUGAAUUGUUGAUGUUUUUCUUUUUGUAAUGUCUUUUUUAUUUUUAAAAUUAAUUAGAUAGUUUCUUUUUCUAUUUUUUAAUUAAAAUAUGUAGUUAGAAUGGAGAGGUAACGAGGGUAAAAUGGGGUUUCUAAUAUUUUGGUGUCCUACCCCUCUUCCCAUAUAGAAUAGAGAUUCCGCACCAUCCCGCAUAUCUCUCACUCCCUCUCUCUCUCCUCCCCCCACCCUCUCUGUUCUUCCAUUCUAUCACUCAAAUUUAUGAACCCUAAUCAUACUCAAGAGGUCAAAAUUCUUGGAGUUGUUUUCUAGUACAGGUUUGGAGACUUCUCUUCUCAUUUAUUUCAAUUUUUUUACAUCAAUUGUCUAUUAUUCUCUUGAAUUGUUACUUCUCAUUCUUGUAGAGAUACUUGAAUUCCUUGUUAUUAUUCGAAUUCUUCUAAAAUUUUGCUUUCAUUUUGAAUUAUUUCUAGUUCAUCAAUCUUAUUUGGUGGUUUAUUCAUCAAUUUGGGUGUAUCUCAUGCAAUUGAAUUCCUUGAAAAUUUGAUUUGGAGUUUUCAUGAAAUUUAAGCAUGUGAAAGUUUUGAUCUUUAAUGUAAUGCCACCAUCAACAAACUUCAUAUUAUAUCAUGAAUUUUCUUUUUUUCUUUUGAAGAAAGCAGCAAAUUGAUUGAUUAGCAAAGGGUUCAUUAAUUACUACCGAAAAAAAUAUAGUGUAUGUUCUUGGUUCACCAAAUUAUAAGCUAUUAACAUUGUUUGUCAUUAAUACUUCUCUACUCAUGGAACUCAACUUUUAUAAAGGUACAUAACAACGAUCAUUAGUAGGAAAAAAAUUGGAUAUUGUAGGUAAAUUGGAGUUUGUGGGUUGACAUUGAUUUGCAGGAGAUCAUUAUGCACAAUAUCUCUACUGAUCAAAAUUGAUGCACACAAAUCUUUUUUUUUCUUCUUUCGAUGGACAAAUAGUUACCAUUAGCUUUUUAUAUAUAUUUGUUGCAAUUGUUUUUUUCAUACAUGCGUCAGAAAGACAUAAACUAGGCUUGUGUUGCUUUUUUUUCUAUUUUAAUAAGUCAUUGUACUAUAUAUAUUUGUGUUUAAUUAGUUGCUAGAUGUCGAGUUUGAACAAUGAGGCUAUGGGUGAUGAUGAUGUUGUUGAGGUUGAGUCUAUUGGAGGACCCGGUGUAUGGAAUGAUAACAUUGAAUCUAUCUUGAUAAGCUUGAUAGAGGAUGAAGUGAAAAAAUGAUAUAGACCAACUACCACUCUUACCAAGCCAGCUUGGAGGUUUAUCAAGGAAAAACUAAAAGAGAAAACAAAAAAGGAUUAUAGUGAAGAACAACUUAAGAACAAAUACAAUCAAUUGAGGCAAAGAUGGAAGGACAUUAGUAAGAUACUGGAGGAGACUGGAAUUGGAUUCAAUGCGGUAACAAAUCAACUUUCUGCAGAGGAUACUGUAUGGAAGAAGUUGUAUGAGAAACAUAAGUCUGCUAGAAGUUUUAGAAAGAAAGGAUGUAAGCGUUAUAAUAAAUUAAACACAAUUUUUGGUGAUACAACUGCUACUCGUGCUAGCGCUCAUCCUUCUACUAAAAGCCCUUCUGAUAGUGAAGAUGAAGAUGACACAGAUGGAGAAUUGGGUGAUUCGGAAAAACAAUCUGAAGAGGGUCCUAAAGCCAAGAAAGCCAAGUCUAAUGUAAAUCCUAAGAAACUGAGAGAGAGAGAGUUAAUGCAGCAAUGGCAGAUGCACUAGUAGCUAUGAGUGAAAAUUCUAAGAAGAAGCUUGAACUUCUUGAGAAGAAGUUAAGUGCUUCAUCUACUAGCAUUCCCAUGAAUGAUAAUAAUGAUAGUGGGCAUCAAUUGAAGGAGGACAAUGAUGAUCUUCUUAUGGAAUGCAUUGAUACAUUAAGUGGUCUUGAAGGAAUUGAUGGGGCUUCAUUUGCAAAGGCGACUAAACUAAUACAUGAUGAUCCAACAUGGAGGAAAAUAUUCCUACGUUUGUCUGAUAAUAGAAAAAUUGAUUUUGUGCUUAACAUUUAAACAUUUGUUUACUCUUUUUAGUGUAUGUUUAGAUGAACUUAAUUUAUAUAUGAUCAUUUUAUUA